UGCAUCGGCCGGGAAUCGAACCCGGCCCGGGCAGGCUAGCAUUUCACCACUGAACUACCGAUGC